GGGAGAGUUACAUCGUUGUACAGAGCCAAGCCAAGAGUGAGACUGACCUCGUGUCCCUCUGUUACUAUCUCGAAGUGCUAAUACUAACGUCAGCAUAUAACUCUAGCCAUAUAAGGACAAAACCCCCCACAUCCACAUUCCAGAGCUCUCGGACAAAGAAAGCCUUGUGACUUAUUGAUACCAUCUGUUACUUAUGUCAAUC